CCUACGGGAGGCUGCAGUGAGGAAUAUUGGUCAAUGGCCGGAAGGCUGAACCAGCCAUGCCGCGUGAAGGUCAGUGCCCUUUGGGCGUUAAACUUCUUUUGUGCGGGAGCAAUAAUGGUCACUUGUGGCCAGACGAGAGUACCGUACGAAUAAGCAUCGGCUAACUCCGUGCCAGCAGGCGCGGUAAUACGGGGGGUGCAAGCGUUAUCCGGAUUUAUUGGGGUUAAAGGGUGCGUAGGCUGUGAGGUAAGGCAGCGGUGGAAUGCCUCCGUUCAACGGGGUGAAGUGCCAUUGAUACUGCCAUGCUUGAAUGCAGAUGCGGUGGGAGGAAGGUGUGGUGUAGCGGUGAAAUGCAUAGAUAUCACGCAGAACACCGAUGGCGAAGGCAUCUCACGAAUCCGCGAUUGACGCUGAUGCACGAAAGCGUGGGUAUCAAACAGGAUUAGAUACCCGUGUAGUC
rnacentral:rRNA from 1 species